AAGACCAUCAUAUCCACGAUAAGUGUCGUGAAAAGAGGGAAAGGUAAAAGUGUAGAGGACACAAGCUGUGGCGAUCAGAUUAGAUGACAGGUUCCAUGGAAAAGCUGACUGAGAGGAUAAUAAGCAUGACAUCUACACAAGAGUGACCUAAGCUUCAGCAGUACCGUUUGCAGCCCAACCAGUUGGAUCUUUUACUCUCUGCAGUCUGGACCCUUCUUCGCGGCUGUGGGCCAGGGCCAAGGCCAUUAAACCUGGCUUAAUAAACUGCUGAGCCCCUCUCUUCCCACUACUCACAG